rnacentral:rRNA from 1 species
UAACAGGAAAUUUAAGGGCGUACGGUGGAUGCCUAGACUUUAAGAAGCGAUGAAGGACGUAGCAAAGCUGCGAUAAGCUUCGGGGAGGUGCCUAGCAACCUUU